CCUACGAGAGGCAGCCGUGAGGAAUAUUGGUCAAUGGACUCAAGUCUGAACCAGCCAUGCCGCGUGCAGGAAGACGGCUCUAUGAGUUGUAAACUUCUUUUGUACGAGGGUAAACGCAGAUACGCGUAUCUGUCUGAAAGUAUCGUACGCAUAAGGCUCGGCUAACUCCGUGCCAGCAGCCGCGGUAAUACGGAGGAUUCAAGCGUUAUCCGGAUUUAUUGGGUUUAAAGGGUGCGUAGGCGGUCGGAUAAGUUAGAGGUGAAAUCCCGAGGCUCAACUUCGGAAUUGCCUCUGAUACUGUUCGGCUAGAGAGUAGUUGCGGUAGGCGGAAUGUAUGGUGUAGCGGUGAAAUGCUUAGAGAUCAUACAGAACACCGAUUGCGAAGGCAGCUUACCAAGCUACUUCUGACGUUGAGGCACGAAAGCGUGGGGAGCAAACAGGAUUAGAUAUCCGAGUAGUC
rnacentral:rRNA from 1 species